AUUGAACGCUGGCGGCAGGCCUAACACAUGCAAGUCGAGCGAGCGGCGGAAGGGUGAGUAAUGUCUGGGGAUCUGCCCGAUCGAGGGGGAUAACUACUGGAAACGGUGGCUAAUACCGCAUACUAUCGGAUGCACCCCUAUGGGAUUAGCUAGUAGGUGGGGUAAAGGCUCACCUAGGCGACGAUCCCUAGCUGGUCGGAGAGGAUGAUCAGCCAAACUGGAACUGAUACACGUCCCAGACUCCUACGGGAGGCAGCAGUGGGGAAUAUUGCACAAUGGGCGCAAGCCUGAUGCAGCCAUGCCGCGUGUAUGAAGAAGGCCUUAGGGUUGUAAAGUACUUUCAGCGGGGAGGCGUUACCCGCAGAAGAAGAACCGGCUAACUCCGGGCCAGCCGCCGCGGUAAUAC
rnacentral:rRNA from 1 species